GACAGAGGAUGCAAGCGUUAUCCGGAAUGAUUGGGCGUAAAGCGUCUGUAGGUGGCUUUUUAAGUCUGCCGUCAAACCCCAGGGCUCAACCCUGGACAGGCGGUGGAAACUACCAAGCUGGAGUACGGUAGGGGCAGAGGGAAUUUCCGGUGGAGCGGUGAAAUGCGUGAGAGAUCGGGAGGAACACCUGUGGCGAAGGCGGCCCCCUGGGCCGGCCCGUGACACUGAGACGCGAAGGCGCUGGGGAGCGA
rnacentral:rRNA from 1 species